UACGUAGGGGGCAAGCGUUGUCCGGAUUUAUUGGGCGUAAAGAGCGUGUAGGCGGCCAUGUAGGUCCGGUGUGAAAACUCGAGGCUUAACCUCGAGAUGUCAUCGGAAACCAUUUGGCUAGAGUCCGGAAGAGGAGAGUGGAAUUCCUGGUGUAGCAGUGAAAUGCGCAGAUAUCAGGAAGAACACCGGUGGCGAAGGCGGGUCUCUGGGCCGAUACUGACGCUGAGGAGCGAAAGCGUGGGGAGCGAACAGG
rnacentral:rRNA from 1 species